rnacentral:rRNA from 1 species
AGCAGCCGCGGUAAUUCCAGCUCCAAUAGCGUAUAUUAAAGUUGUUGCAGUUAAAAAGCUCGUAGUUGAACUUCAGGCCUGUCCAGAUGGUCCGCCUUAAUUGGUGUGUACUGUCCUUGGGUGGGUCCUACCUUCUGGCGAAGCGGCAUGGCCUUAAUUGGUUGUGUUGGGGAAGCAGGACUUUUACUGUGAAAAAAUUAGAGUGUUCAAAGCAGGCAUUAUAUGCUCGAAUACAUUAGCAUGGAAUAAUGGAAUAGGACGAUGGUUCUAUUUUGUUGGUUCUAGGACCGUUGUAAUGAUUAAUAGGGAUAGUUGGGGGCAUUAGUAUUCAAUUGUCAGAGGUGAAAUUCUUGGAUUUAUUGAAGACUAACUACUGCGAAAGCAUUUGCCAAGGAUGUUUUCAUUAAUCAAGAACGAAAGUUAGGGGAUCGAAGACGAUCAGAUACCGUCGUAGUCUUAACCAUAAACUAUGCCGACUAGGAAUCGGGCGAUGUUGACAAAAUGACUCGCUCGGCACCUCAUG